rnacentral:rRNA from 1 species
GACGAACCGAGCGAACGUUGUUCGGAAUCACUGGGCUUAAAGGGCGCGUAGGCGGGUGCUCAGGUCCGGGGUGAAAUCCCACAGCUCAACUGUGGAAUUGCCUCGGAUACUGGGUGUCUCGAGGGUGGUAGGGGUAUGCGGAACUAUCGGUGGAGCGGUGAAAUGCGUUGAUAUCGAUAGGAACUCCGGUGGCGAAGGCGGCAUACUGGACCACUUCUGACGCUGAGGCGCGAAAGCCAGGGGAGCAAACGGG